rnacentral:tRNA from 1 species
GGGCUUAAUGGCGGGCGGACUACAUGGACUCAUAAUCCUUUGGUCCACGGUUCAAGUCCGUGAAGGCCCACCA